rnacentral:rRNA from 1 species
GAGUUUGAUCGUGGCUCAGGAUGAACGCUGGCGGCGUGCCUAAUACAUGCAAGUCGAGCGAACAGACGAGGAGCUUGCUCCUCUGACGUUAGCGGCGGACGGGUGAGUAACACGUGGAUAACCUACCUAUAAGACUGGGAUAACUUCGGGAAACCGGAGCUAAUACCGAAUAAUAUAUUGAACCGCAUGGUUCAAUAGUGAAAAACGGUUUUGCUGUCACUUAUAGAUGGAUCCGCGCCGCAUUAGCUAGUUGGUAGGGUAACGGCUUACCAAGGCGACGAUGCGUAGCCGACCUGAGAGGGUGAUCGGCCACACUGGAACUGAGACACGGUCCAGACUCCUACGGGAGGCAGCAGUAGGGAAUCUUCCGCAAUGGGCGAAAGCCUGACGGAGCAGCGCCGCGUGAGUGAUGAAGGUCUUCGGAUCGUAAAACUCUGUUAUUAGGGAAGAACAAAUGUGUAAGUAACUAUGCACGUCUUGACGGUACCUAAUCAGAAGCCACGGCUAACUACGUGCCAGCCG